UACGGGAGGCAGCAGUGGGGAAUAUUGCACAAUGGGCGCAAGCCUGAUGCAGCCAUGCCGCGUGUAUGAAGAAGGCCUUCGGGUUGUAAAGUACUUUCAGUCGUGAGGAAGGUGUUAAGGUUAAUAACCUUAGCAAUUGACGUUAGCGACAGAAGAAGCACCGGCUAACUCCGUGCCAGCAGCCGCGGUAAUACGGAGGGUGCGAGCGUUAAUCGGAAUUACUGGGCGUAAAGGGCACGCAGGCGGUUAAUUAAGUUGGAUGUGAAAUCCCCGGGCUUAACCUGGGAAUGGCAUUCAAGACUGGUUAGCUAGAGUCUUGUAGAGGGGGUAGAAUUCCAUGUGUAGCGGUGAAAUGCGUAGAGAUGUGGAGGAAUACCGGUGGCGAAGGCGGCCCCUGGGACAAAGGACUGACGCUCAUGUGCGAAAGCGUGGGGAGCGAAACAGGGAUUAGA
rnacentral:rRNA from 1 species